rnacentral:rRNA from 1 species
AAUAAGCUAAUUAAGAGCGUAAGGUGGAUGCCUUGGCUCUCAGAGGCGAUGAAGGACGUGAUAAGCUGCGAUAAGCUACGGGGAUUGGCACACACAAUUUGAUCCGUAGAUUUCCGAAUGGGGAAACCCACUAUAUUGAAGAUAUAGUAUCCGUUAAGGAAGCAAACCCAGGGAACUGAAACAUCUAAGUACCUGGAGGAAUAGAAAACAAAAGUGAUUCCGCUAGUAGUGGCGAGCGAACGCGGAUCAGCCCAAACCAAAAUUGUUUCGGCAAUUUUGGGGUUGUAGGACCACGACAUUGAAUGUUUAAUGAAUUAGAAUUCUUUG